rnacentral:sRNA from 1 species
GUUUGUGCUGGGAGCUGGUGGCGCGGUGCAGGGCUCUUAAGAACGAACGGCUUGGGCGCGGACUGGUAUCCGGGGACUGUGACUUGCAGGGUCCGCCAUGGAGCCAGAGCAGAUGCUGGAGGGACAAACGCAGGUUGCAGAAAAUCCUCACUCUGAGUACGGUCUCACAGACAACGUUGAGAGGAUAGUAGAAAAUGAGAAGAUUAAUGCAGAAAAGUCAUCAAAGCAAAAGGUAGAUCUCCAGUCUUUGCCAACUCGUGCCUACCUGGAUCAGACAGUUGUGCCUAUCUUAUUACAGGGACUUGCUGUGCUUGCAAAGGAAAGAUGAGGAAACAGACUUGGAGAGGUUAAGUGACAUGCUCAAGACAACACUGCUGGAUCUUGCUACGUACGUUGCCCAGGUUGGAAUGCGGUGGCGUGAUCAUGGCUCACUGUAGCCUCGACCUCCUGGGCUCAAGUGAUCCUCCCUCCUCCGCCUACCAAGUAGCUAGGGGCGAAGCCACCACACCCGGAUAAU